UACGUAGGGGGCAAGCGUUAUCCGGAUUUACUGGGUGUAAAGGGAGCGUAGACGGCGAUGCAAGUCUGAAGUGAAAGGCGGGGGCCCAACCCCCGGACUGCUUUGGAAACUGUAUGGCUGGAGUGUCGGAGAGGCAGGCGGAAUUCCUAGUGUAGCGGUGAAAUGCAUAGAUAUCGCGCAGAACUCCGAUUGCGAAGGCAGCAUGCCGGCUCCACACUGACGCUGAGGCACGAAAGCGUGGGGAGCAAACAGG
rnacentral:rRNA from 1 species